GACGAACCGUGCGAACGUUAUUCGGAAUCACUGGGCUUAAAGCGCGUGUAGGCGGCCCGGCACGUCAGUUGCUGAAAUCCCCUGGCUCAACCAGGGAAGUGGCAUUGAUACGACCGGGCUGGAGGGGGGUAGGGGGGACGGGAACUCACGGUGGAGCGGUGAAAUGCGUUGAGAUCGUGAGGAACGCCCGCGGCGAAAGCGCGUCCCUGGACCCCACCUGACGCUGAGGCGCGAAAGCCAGGGGAGCGAACGGG
rnacentral:rRNA from 1 species